rnacentral:lncRNA from 1 species
GUUCCAAUGACGCAAUUUUCCUCACACUCCGGAAGUGUCCUGCACUGCCAGAAUCGCCCAGCUUCCCGGCACACCUAUCAACCAGUCGUUCCCAGCACUGCCCAGUAUGCAGCCUCCAGGCAGAGGGCCUGGAUGUCUUGGCAGGUAGGGUUCCCCUAGCAGCCUGGGGGUGGUCAGAUAGAAACAUUAACUGGAACGUAGAGGCCAGUUCUUGGCUCAGGGAGCCAGGAGGGCUCUGACUGUUGCACAUACAAGCCACUCACACUGCUAUCGCCCACAUACCUUCCUCUCCCGCCAGCCCACCCCAAAGCCCAAACUCCUGCCCGCAUGCUGGGAAGGUGAGCCCUUGCCUGGAGAGCCCAGCAGGGGAAAUAGAAGGAGGGAAGGAGGCCUGCUCCUUCCCCGGAGCUCUGCUCUGCGGCUGCAGGAAGACCCGCAGAGGCCCUGGGCAGCAGAACUGUGGACAGCAAGGCUGGAGUUGUGAAACCCAACCACUCAGCUGGAUUCCAGAAGCUCAGGUGGUGGUGACUAAACCUGGCCUUACUUAAAAUGCAUGACUUUAUUGUCUUUCAAUGUAUUUUCAGUAAACUUCAUCCUCUCCAUUACUAUUUUCUUUUCUUCGGAAACAAGCAACAGAUCUUUGUAAAAAAAAUAC